rnacentral:rRNA from 1 species
ACCUAGUAGUACGGAAUAGCCAUUAGAAAUGGUGGGUAAUACUGUAUAAUCCCCGAGGGGGAAAGAUUUAUCGCUAUUAGAUGAGCCUACGUUAGAUUAGCUAGUUGGUGAGGUAAUGGCUUACCAAGGCUAUGAUCUAUAGCUGGUCCGAGAGGACGAUCAGCCACGCUGGAACUGAGAUACGGUCCGGACUCCUACGGGAGGCAGCAGUGGGGAAUAAUGGACAAUGGGCGAAAGCCUGACCCAGCUAUGCCGCGUGAGUGAAGAAGGCCUUCGGGUUGUAAAACUCUUUCAAUAGGGAAGAUAA